ensembl:snRNA U6 U6 spliceosomal RNA
GUGCUCGCUUUGGCAGCACAUAUACUAAAAUUGGAAUGAUACAGAGAAGGUUUAGCAUGGCCCCUGCGCAAGGAUGCCAUGCAAAUUCGUGAAGGGUUCCAUAUUUUU